rnacentral:lncRNA from 1 species
AUGCAGGGGUGUCUAGUUGUCGAUCCGGAUUGUCACCCUUCGGGGUCAAAUCCCAGAAGUGAGUUGAGUUUCUGUUAUCACUCCCCGGCUUCUGGUUUCCUUUUAGCCGCCCACACGCGGGAGCGAAAUCCAAGGGGCAGAAACGAGAGCCCAGCACUUAGCGCGCUGGAAAAUUCACCCACAGACGUAACCGAAAAGCCCCAGCCCAUCCCCUCAGCCCCGGGCCCCGCCACGCCGGCCCUGCCCACCCGUGGCCCCGGGUACUCGCCUCGCGCGCGGCCGCCGAGCUGGGAGAGCGAGGCCAGGCAGCGUUGGGGAGCCCCGGCGCCGGCGUCUCUGCCCGCCUGCCUGCCCGCCGCGGCCGCUGGCUCCUCGCCCGUGUGCUUCCCCCCCGACACCCCCGGCACGGGCCUCCUCCGUCCGGGUCCCCGCUGGCUGCCCGCAGCCGCGUCUGCUGCCGAGAGGCGGCCGCGCGGGCGGCGCUGUUUCGCGGGGCCGCCCGCCGCACCUGGAGGCGGGGAGCGCGGGCCGCGAACCCGCGCGCAGCUCCGGAAGCGUCGCGCCAGGCGGCGCCUGGCCCAGGCCGCUUUCCUGCAUUUGCAUUCAGUGGGCCAGGGACCUGUAUCCUUAACAACCCUGGACUGCACCUGAAAUUCUCUUCCCUAAAAG